rnacentral:lncRNA from 1 species
AAAGAAUGCUUGAGAACAGGAAAGUCAUAUAUUUCUCAAGAUUUUGUCAAUUGUUGUUUAAUGCCACUGUUGGAGAAGUGGAUUUUGAUGCUGCAGAUGAGAUCAAGCCUUUUAAACUUCAUAAAAGGGCUUUUAAGGAUCUCAUAUCUAAAGAUGAGAAGAGACCAGUUCUCAGGCCUCUGCAAAUCCCAGCUCCAUUCAGAGCAAGGCUGAAUC